UGGCAGUGGGGGGCAAGACUGCAGUGAUGGAGAUCGCUGCGGUCUGGCUCAUAGCUAUCCGAGAAUCGGCCAAGGCUGGCAACAGAGCAGGCAAAAUCGGGCUCCACUGGCAG
rnacentral:SRP_RNA from 13 species